GGUGAACGCUGACAGAAUGCUUAACACAUGCAAGUCAACUUGAAUUUGGGUUUUUAACUUCGGUUUGGGUGGCGGACGGGUGAGUAACGCGUAAAGAACUUGCCUCACAGCUAGGGACAACAUUUGGAAACGAAUGCUAAUACCUAAUAUUAUGAUAAUAGGGCAUCCUAUAAUUAUGAAAGCUAUAAGCGCUGUGAGAGAGCUUUGCGUCCCAUUAGCUAGUUGGAGAGGUAACGGCUCACCAAGGCGAUGAUGGGUAGCCGGCCUGAGAGGGUGAUCGGCCACAAGGGGACUGAGACACGGCCCUUACUCCUACGGGAGGCAGCAGUGGGGAAUAUUGGACAAUGGACCAAGAGUCUGAUCCAGCAAUUCUGUGUGCACGAUGAAGUUUUUCGGAAUGUAAAGUGCUUUCAGUUGGGAAGAAAGAAAUGACGGUACCAACAGAAGAAGUGACGGCUAAAUACGUG
rnacentral:rRNA from 1 species